UAGGGAAUCUUCGGCAAUGGACGAAAGCCUGACCGAGCAACGCCGCGUGAGUGAAGAAGGUUUUCGGAUCGUAAAACUCUGUUGUUAGAGAAGAACAAGGACGUUAGUAACUGAACGUCCCCUGACGGUAUCUAACCAGAAAGCCACGGCUAACUACGUGCCAGCAGCCGCGGUAAUACGUAGGUGGCAAGCGUUGUCCGGAUUUAUUGGGCGUAAAGCGAGCGCAGGCGGUUUCUUAAGUCUGAUGUGAAAGCCCCCGGCUCAACCGGGGAGGGUCAUUGGAAACUGGGAGACUUGAAUGCAGAAGGGGAGAGUGGAAUUCCAUGUGUAGCGGUGAAAUGCGUAGAUAUAUGGAGGAACACCAGUGGCGAAGGCGGCUCUCUGGUCUGUAACUGACGCUGAGGCUCGAAAGCGUGGGGAGCGAACAGG
rnacentral:rRNA from 1 species